CCAAGAACAGUCUCUGGCCUUUAUACUGAGACAAUGUCUGUGAAGGACACAGAGUAAGAAUAUCAGCCUACCAGUAAUGGAGAAAUCAAAUCUGAAAGGAAUGUCUCACGGGCUAAAGAACUCAGCAAGAGAUGAUGGAAGGGAGGAUAAAACGGUGUGAGACAGUUCCAGCUACCCCACAUAAACAGACAGAAGUAAAGCCACAAAAAGUUUCCCUGUACGGACCUCUUCUUGUCCACUUCUACUUACGGAGAUAACACCUUCUGACACCAGGACAGACAACUAUGUGCAGUGUUUCAUAUUCCCACCACUUAAAGAUACGGAGCAGAUACCCUUAAAAUUGAGCUGGCACAAUGGCAAGAAGAUGGAAGAGUGAAUGAAUGAGGGGCAGCACAAGAGAGGGAGAAAGAGAAACAGACACGAGAUCGGAGAGCGUGGAUAAGCUGGUUCUUGCAGAACUGUGUCUCAGAAGAGCUACAGCUCCCUCUUCAUGUCACAGUUGUAAGAUAAGAAAUGUUGCCAUUAAGAACUGGUUAAUUAGAGGGAAAUAUACCCAGGUUAGCGGAUGCUCUAUCGGAUCUGAUUUUUAUGAACGUUUUGACUCUGUUUUGUGAUCAGGAUUGUACUGAAAAUCUUUUCUUGAUAAACAGCUAAACAAAUUUGGAUAAAACCUUGAGUUUUGAAUGAAAUCUGAGUUUUGACUUGAUUGCCAUACAUGUCAGUGAAGAAACCUAGCCAGUUUGUUAAGUCGAGUAUUUAUUUUGGAAAAUAUUAAUCCCUGUUAACUUUUAGAGAUCUAGUGGUAUAUACUGCAAUGUAAAAAAAAUAUCUAAAUAUCUAUCAAUAAUUAAUUAUCUAAA